rnacentral:tRNA from 1 species
GCUUUCGUGGCGCAAUAGGCAGCGCGUUCGGCUGUUAACCGAAAGGUUAGUGGUUAGGAGCGGAACCU